GGCGGUUUAGCUUAAUGGUUCAGAGCACCUCGACGCGUAAUCAUGGAGGUGUGAGUUCGAGUCUCAUAGCCAGCC
rfam:Octopus bimaculoides Scaffold30508_contig_96, whole genome shotgun sequence.